rnacentral:rRNA from 1 species
UACGGAGGGUGCAAGCAUUGAUCGGAAUUACUGGGCGUAAAGGGCUCGUAGGCGGCCAACUAAGUCGGACGUGAAAUCCCUCAGCUUAACUGGGGAACUGCGUCCGAUACUGGAUGGCUUGGAUUUGGGAGAGGGAUGCGGAAUUCCAGGUGUAGCGGUGAAAUGCGUAGAUAUCUGGAGGAACACCGGUGGCGAAGGCGGCAUCCUGGACCAAUAUUGACGCUGAGGAGCGAAAGCUAGGGGAGCAAACGGG